AGCAGCCGCGGUAAUUCCAGCUCCAAUAGCGUAUAUUAAAGUUGUUGCAGUUAAAAAGCUCGUAGUUGAAUUUCGGGGUUAGUAGGUUGGUCAUGCCUCUGGUAUGUACUGGUCUCACUGAUUCCUCCUUCCUGAUGAACCUUAAUGCCAUUAAUUUGGUGUUUUGGGGAAUUUGGACUGUUACUUUGAAAAAAUUAGAGUGUUUAAAGCAAGCUAACGCUUGAAUACAUUAGCAUGGAAUAAUGAAAUAGGACGUUCGAUCCUAUUUUGUUGGUUUCUAGGAUUGACGUAAUGAUUAAUAGGGAUAGUUGGGGGCAUUAGUAUUCAAUUGUCAGAGGUGAAAUUCUUGGAUUUAUUGAAGACUAACUACUGCGAAAGCAUUUGCCAAGGAUGUUUUCAUUAAUCAAGAACGAAAGUUAGGGGAUCGAAGACGAUCAGAUACCGUCGUAGUCUUAACCAUAAACUAUGCCGACUAGGGAUCGGAUGAUGUUAAUUUUUAAUGACUCAUUCGGCGCCUUAC
rnacentral:ncRNA from 2 species